GAUGAACGCUGGCGGCGUGCCUAAUACAUGCAAGUCGAGCGAACGGACGAGAAGCUUGCUUCUCUGAUGUUAGCGGCGGACGGGUGAGUAACACGUGGAUAACCUACCUAUAAGACUGGGAUAACUUCGGGAAACCGGAGCUAAUACCGGAUAAUAUUUUGAACCGCAUGGUUCAAAAGUGAAAGACGGUCUUGCCGUCACUUAUAGAUGGAUCCGCGCUGCAUUAGCUAGUUGGUAAGGUAACGGCUUACCAAGGCAACGAUGCAUAGCCGACCUGAGAGGGUGAUCGGCCACACUGGAACUGAGACACGGUCCAGACUCCUACGGGAGGCAGCAGUAGGGAAUCUUCCGCAAUGGGCGAAAGCCUGACGGAGCAACGCCGCGUGAGUGAUGAAGGUCUUCGGAUCGUAAAACUCUGUUAUUAGGGAAGAACAUAUGUGUAAGUAACUGUGCACAUCUUGACGGUACCUAAUCAGAAAGCCACGGCUAACUACGU
rnacentral:rRNA from 1 species